GGACUACCAGGGUUUCUAAUCCUGUUCGCUCCCCACGCUUUCGCUCCUCAGCGUCAGUAACGGCCCAGAGACCCGCCUUCGCCACCGGUGUUCCUCCUGAUAUCUGCGCAUUUCACCGCUACACCAGGAAUUCCAGUCUCCCCUGCCGAACUCAAGUCUGCCCGUAUCGACCGCAAGCCCGGAGUUAAGCCCCAGGUUUUCACGGCCGACGCGACAAACCGCCUACGAGCUCUUUACGCCCAAUAAUUCCGGACAACGCUCGCACCCUACGUAUUACCGCGGCGGCUGGCAC
rnacentral:rRNA from 1 species